AUAUGGAAGAACCCUCGAAGCCUGUCCCCGACGAUGAUGCCCCCUGGGCGAAAGGAAAGGGGCCGCCAUUCUCUUUCUUUCCUCAAUCAUUCCGAUCAUUUCUCUCAUUCCCUUUUGUUUUUUCGGGUUGGUUCGUUUCCUCCUUCUAUCUACGCAAUUCUCCGUCUUCGUUCGUGA
rnacentral:rRNA from 1 species